UUGAUAACUGCCAGAGUUAUAGCGUAGCUUAGCAUUACUUGGAGUCUCGCGACGGAUUGGAGUGUAGAUAAGCGUUUCUCGUCGAAACUCUUGCCGGAGGGUGGCUCACUCGUCGGAUGACCAACUCCGGUCACAGCACUUAGCGCUGUGUGACAGUAGGUGUGGUUGCUUCUGAAGAGAACCGGCUGCAGCAUUAGCAGCCCGCAGCAAUGGCUUUCUUGUUUGAAGGAUGAUGAGCUGGGCCAAACUCGGUGAAUUUCGGAGUCCGAGUUUUCUUUUCCACAGUGGAGUUGGUACUUACUUCGGUUUCGCAACCGCAUUUCAAUCGAAUCACCGUCUUCCUGAGUUUUGACAUGGGAAACUGGGUCAACGAUACGCAGAAGAAUAACCAAAAACCUUUUUAUCAUGUAAACGAAGAUCACGAUACCGUAUGGAAAAAAAGCCUUUAAAAGGUUUUAAUGCUAUGACUCAUAAUGUUACUAAUAGUUUUAUUACGUUGACAAAUAUUUUGUGAUUUUCCAAUCAUUUUCAUAGUAAAGUUCUCCCCUUACCAGAACAUUGCCGGAUACUUUAGGCCGCCUCAGAAUAAAUCGUUUGCAUUAUUUGAAUGAGAUAUCUCAUUACGUAGUUAGUUUUAAAACCGACUUUACGUUAUCUCGCCAGUUGAAAACUGGCCAAUCACUUCCAAGCCUCAUCAAUGUUGAUGUUUCACCUAAAAUGUCUUUUAUUGCGCCAGGAUGCAAUACUACAUCCAUUUUCCGCAUUUUUUUCUCAGCAAUGCUAAAUUGCUGGUCAGCUGGCGUAAACAAGUGUCCUAUUACUAAAAACACCAAUUCGCUCUUAGUGCUCUGAGGAAUUGUUCGAGAUGAUACCAACGUCUCGUUUUUACCAUCGCACCGCCCUCCACCGGUGUAGAGUUCAUCCAUACUACCUGGAGCCACUACGUUCAUCCACAGUGCGUUUCUAGAGAUCUUUUUUGCCGCGUACCAUCCGGAUGGAAUGAGCUCCCCUCCACGGUGUUUCCCGAGCGCUAUGAUAUGUCCUUCAAACGAGGCUUGUGGAGAGUAUUAAACGGUAGGCAGCGGCUUGGCUCUGCCCCUGGCAUUGCUGACUUCCAUGAGCGACGGUAACCGACGGUAAAUUUAGUCUUGUAAAGGAAACGUCUUUACUGUUUUUGCCAUAUUGAUGAAAAAAUCAAGUAGAAGAUCACUCUGGUUUCUGUUUUGUCCCAUUCUUGUUAAGUAUUCUUGUAGAACCUCGGCUGCAGUUGAACCUUGUGACGCUGCGAAGCUUGAUUUCCUACCGACAGUGCGUGUUGAUGUCGCGGAUUCGAUGGAUAGUGGACUUGGUGUUUCAGUAAUUCAUUAUUAUGUAGAUUACUUGAAUCAGACAGUGCUUCAAGCUGUGAUUCGUCGUUAUUGUUGACACUUCUAGGCGAUAGAGAUGACCGGCGUUCUUCCUCAUCGUUGAGGUAUGGUACUAUGAAAGAAAGUUCUUGGGAGAAUUUAGGAGGUUUUAGUAUCGAUGCUGCUUGGCCGCUUUUGGUCUUACGCAAAUUCAAAGCCUUCCUAUGGUUGUCUCUGAUUCUAGUCCAUCGCUCUUUACAUGCAUUGCCUGUAACAAUAAAAAAGUUUUUUUUAUUUUUUAUUUCAGGUACAAUAGCCACUGGGAAUUCUUUUAGGUCACUGGUGUUUUGUGCUCGUAUUUAAUGCGGCCAUACUCUCGCGACGAUGCCCAACGAAAUGAAGAAAAAAAAGUGUUUAACUAUCGGCUGAGCCGUGCGAGAAAUUUUAAAAUGUUUACAUGGCUCAUCAACCGCUUCACGUUUGAUCCUGCACAAGAUGAAAAUAUAUUAGAGCUCAACAAACAAUCGAAUGUCUUCAUAAUUACAGAUGAGACCGAAUCCUUUCUCUGUGCGCUAGCCAACCGCGUCUCUUCUUGGUCUAAGCUACUCCGCAUUGUGGUGAAUGUAUAUCGUUUUUUGAGUAAGGUCCCUCGCUCGGACCGAACGCAACUUGCACAUCUAGUUUGCUGAACUGCUGUCGUAAAAGCGCUUCAACAGCAGUACUUUCGAAACGACAUCGACGCGCUCUCCAAUGGUCAUCUAGUUUUGAAGUCUUUGCUUCCACUUUCUCCGUUUUUGGAAAACGACAUUCUCCGCGCCGGAGACCGCUUAAAAAACUCCUCGCUUUAAAACGACAGCAAGCAUCCGAUCUUGCUUCCCAAAAAAGAUCACAUUGUUAAUCUGAUAAUUGACUAUCAUCACCGCAAAUACCUACACGCUGAUCCGAACUUACUGUUAUCACUUCUGAGACAAAAAUUUUGAAUCAUUUCCGGUCGUAGUACCGUAAAACAACGCUUUCGUCUUUGUAAGAGAUGUUUCAAAGCCGCUCCCCGCACAGAGCCGCCUUAUAUGGCUGAUCUGCCCGCUUGUCGAGUCAACGAAACCGUCAAACCCAUUUUUUUAGUGUGGCGUUGACUACACUGGACCGCAGGAAAUUUUAAUUGGUCGUUACCGUGGUGCACGCAAGGUCCGCUGCUACUAUGCGCUCUUCACAUGCAUGGUUACAAGAAGCGUGCAUGUUGAAAUUGCAACAGAUUUAUCAACCGACUCCUUUCUUCGCGCUUUUCGCCGUUUUAUAUCACGUCGAGGCUAAAUUAAUUCGCUAUUUUCCGAUAACGGAACGAAUUUCAUAGGCGCCAAAGCCAAGCUUGAUGAACUGGGUGAGUUCCUCAGGUCUAAAGCCUUCUGUAAAGCCUUUGAGUAGGAAACUCUCUAUCAGGGCGUCAAUUGGUCGCUGACCUACAGCUAGUCACGUGGGUGGUAGCUGGGAGAGUAUGAUUCGUGUAUUCAAAAUGCAUCUACGCCGCACUAUCGGAGACGAUCUUCUCACCUAUGAGGAGUUACUCACCGUCGUUACUCAGGUCAAAAUGAUUUUAAAUAGUCGUCCGUUAAUUGCACAAUUAAAUUCACAUCCCGGAGAACCGGAACCUUUAACGCCUUCGCAUUUUUUAACUCUCAGACCGCUAGACUCCUUUCGUGACUAAAGGCACUGUUGUCCUUCUUAAAACAGAAAACUCAACGCCUUUACAAUGGCCAAUAGGCAUAAUUGAAGAAGUAAUGCCUGCCUCGGACGGGGUCGUUAGAGUAGUCAGAGUGCGCACACAAAACGGCACCUAUCUUCGACCUGUAGUAAAACUUUGUGUUUUACCUUCCCAGUAAGCUAAUUUCUCAUUCUUAUUUUAAUUUCUUUUUAUCUCAUUCUUGUUACUUAAUACUCCAUAUCCUGCACUUAUUGCAUGGUUCUUUUUUAAUGAGAGUAGACAUAAAACCCAUCGCAUGGCCAACUAUAAAAAGGAAAACAUAAAACAAAAAUUAAAAAAAAGAAGACUAUCGCCGACCGUACCGCACGCGUUGUACACGCACACGCCGCUUGUUUUGUUACAAAAAUAUUUUUACGGACUCUUAUUAAUUUUCUAUUAAAUUACGAAUUCUUACUGACGAUCAUACUCAUCGUUGCGCGAGUGGCUUACUAGUUUAAUGGAUAAAUAAUUUAGAAGAGUGCCGUGUCAAGUCGUCAGGCCAGCCACCGCCAUUACGCAUCGUCCAGCAGUGACGUUGAAUUCUGCAGCCUGGAAGAAGCUAGCGACGAGUUGGCAGGUUGCCACCUGUUCCGGCACAUCACUAGCCGUGCCUCAGUGAAGAGGCGCGGGGAGGGAGGAUUCGGCUCGGGGCUGGGAGCGCGGCCGCCGGACACUUCUCCAAGAAUACUCGCUAAGCGUACGCGCAUCAAUUUUGUAAUUCAAUCACAAUUUCGGCCACGGUAUAUUGUAACAAGUGAUUGUAAAAUAUAGUCGUGUCACAAGUUAAAACGGAUUUUCAUUAAGAAGACCUACAAUUCUACACCAACUUUGAAUAGACGACUCAUUUAGGGCUUUUUUGCUUCACAAACGAGAUGCCAAAAAUGUUAUUUUGUUGGCUGAUAACUGUGCAUCUCAAAAUAAAAAUUGGGCAUUGAUGUCGUUUUUAGUAUAUGUUAUUAAUAGUUCCUUAACAUCUGCGAAUACAAUCGAGAUACGAUAUAAUGAGCCAAAAUGUACCUUUAUUUCAGCUGACAAAAAUAAAGUGUCCGAUUUCGAUGAUUAUGUCCAAAGGGUAAAAAUGGCAAACAAUCACAAAUGUGUUGUCAAAUCAUUGGGUGUUUCGGAGAAGUUAUACAUAAGAAUAAAACAAAAGUGUAUUUAAAUAAAAUAAAAUAAAUAGUAAUAAUAUAUAUGUUUUUUUUUCUAUUUUGUGUGAUGUGUGUUUUGGGCGUGUGGUGUAAUAAUAUAUAAGACAGUAAUAAAUAAGUAUUCGAAUAGUAAA